GAUGAACGCUGGCGGCGUGCCUAAUACAUGCAAGUCGAGCGAACAGAUGAGAAGCUUGCUUCUCUGAUGUUAGCGGCGGACGGGUGAGUAAGACGUGGGUAACCUACCUAUAAGACUGGGAUAACUCCGGGAAACCGGGGCCAAUACCGGAUAAUAUUUUGAACCGCAUGGUUCAAUAGUGAAAGACGGUUUCGGCUGUCACUUAUAGAUGGACCCGCGCCGUAUUAGCUAGUUGGUAAGGUGACGGCUUACCAAGGCGACGAUACGUAGCCGACCUGAGAGGGUGAUCGGCCACACUGGAACUGAGACACGGUCCAGACUCCUACGGGAGGCAGCAGUAGGGAAUCUUCCGCAAUGGGCGAAAGCCUGACGGAGCAACGCCGCGUGAGUGAUGAAGGUCUUCGGAUCGUAAAACUCUGUUGUUAGGGAAGAACAAAUUUGUUAGUAACUGAACAAGUCUUGACGGUACCUAACCAGAAAGCCACGGCUAACUACGUGCCAGCCGCCGCAGUAA
rnacentral:rRNA from 1 species